GAUGAACGCUAGCGGCAGGCUUAACACAUGCAAGUCGAGGGGUAGGGUAGCAAUACCUGAGACCGGCGCACGGGUGCGUAACGCGUAUGCAACCUACCUUUUACAGGGGGAUAGCCCAGAGAAAUUUGGAUUAAUACCCCAUGCUAUAUAUGGAUGGCAUCAUUUAUAUAUUAAAGUUCCAACGGGAAACGAUUGGCAUGCGUCCUAUUAGCUAGAUGGUAAUGUAACGGCUUACCAUGGCUACGAUAGGUAGGGGUCCUGAGAGGGAGAUCCCCCACACUGGUACUGAGACACGGACCAGACUCCUACGGGAGGCAGCAGUGAGGAAUAUUGGACAAUGGGCGCAAGCCUGAUCCAGCCAUGCCGCGUGCAGGAAGACGGUCCUAUGGAUUGUAAACUGCUUUUGUACGGGAAGAAACACUCCCUCGUGAGGGAGCUUGACGGUACCGUAAGAAUAAGGAUCGGCUAACUCCGUGCCAGCCGCCGCAGUAAUAC
rnacentral:rRNA from 1 species